UACGAAGGGGGCUAGCGUUGUUCGGAAUUACUGGCGUAAAGCGCACGUAGGCGGAUCGGUCAGUUAGGGUGAAAGUCCCAGAGCUCAACUCUGGAACUGCCUUUAAUACUGCCGAUCUCGAGUCCGGAAGAGGUGAGUGGAAUUCCGAGUGUAGAGGUGAAAAUUCGUAGAUAUUCGGAGGAACACCAGUGGCGAAGGGCGGCUCACUGGUCCGGUAC
rnacentral:rRNA from 1 species